UCCGGCAUGGUGUAGUGGCUAGCAUUUCCGCCUCUCAUUCGAAGCUUCUUAAGCUUGAAUCAAGUCGCGGGAGACCGGGGUUCAAUUCCCCGUACCGGAA
rnacentral:tRNA from 1 species